UACGUAGGGUGCGAGCGUUAAUCGGAAUUACUGGGCGUAAAGCGUGCGCAGGCGGUUCUGAAAGUCAGCUGUGAAAGCCCCGGGCUUAACCUGGGAAUUGCGGUUGAAACUACAGGGCUAGAAUCUGGCAGAGGGGGGUGGAAUUCCACGUGUAGCAGUGAAAUGCGUAGAGAUGUGGAGGAACGCCGAUGGCGAAGGCAGCCCCCUGGGCUGAGAUUGACGCUCAGGCACGAAAGCGUGGGGAGCAAACAGG
rnacentral:rRNA from 1 species